GUCGAUGACCAUGCCACCCUGAACGUGCCUGAUCUCUUCUGAUCCUGGAAGCUAAGCAGGGUCGGGCCUGGUUAGUACUUGGAGGGGAGACCACCUAGGAAUAUCAGGUGCUGUAGACA
rnacentral:rRNA from 1 species